rnacentral:rRNA from 1 species
ACGGGAGGCAGCGUCUAAGAAUAUUCCGCAAUGGACGAAAGUCUGACGGAGCGACGCCGCGUGGAUGAUGAAGGCCGGAAGGUUGUAAAAUCCUUUUAUAACUGAGGAAUAAGUAAGGUGAGAGAAACGCCUUAUGGUGACUGUAGGUUAUGAAUAAGCAACGGCUAAUUACGUGCCAGCAGCCGCGGUACCACGUAAGUUGCGAGCGUUGUUCGGAAUUAUUGGGCGUAAAGGGCAUGUAGGCGGUUUUGCAAGCUUGGUGUGAAAUCACGGAGCAUAACUCCGGAAUUGCGUUGAGAACUGCAUAGCUAGAGUCACUGAGGGGCAAUCAGAAUUCCUGGUGUAGGGGUGAAAUCUGUAGAUAUCAGGGAGAAUACCAAUGGCGAAGGCAGGUUACCAGCAGAUGACUGACGCUGAGGUGCGAAGGUGCGGGGAGCAAACAGGAUUAGAUACCCUGGUA